rnacentral:rRNA from 1 species
UUGACGUGGGGGCACCCUGACCGCAAUGCCGCGAGAUGAAGAAGGCCUUCGGGUUGUAAAGCUCUUUUGUCAGGGAAGAAACACCGGCUCUAACACAGUCCGGGAAUGACGGUACCUGAAGAAUAAGCACCGGCUAACUACGUGCCAGCAGCCGCGGUAAUACGUAGGGUGCAAGCGUUAAUCGGAAUUACUGGGCGUAAAGCGUGCGCAGGCGGUUAUACAAGACAGGCGUGAAAUCCCCGGGCUUAACCUGGGAAUGGCGCCUGUGACUGUAUAGCUAGAGUGUGUCAGAGGGGGGUAGAAUUCCACGUGUAGCAGUGAAAUGCGUAGAUAUGUGGAGGAAUACCAAUGGCGAAGGCAGCCCCCUGGGAUAACACUGACGCUCAUGCACGAAA